rnacentral:rRNA from 1 species
GGAUUCCCCUAGUAACUGCGAGUGAAGCGGGAAAAGCUCAAAUUUAAAAUCUGGUAGUCUUUGGCUGCCCGAGUUGUAAUCUAGAGAAGCAUUAUCCGCGCUGGACCGUGUACAAGUGUCCUGGAAUGGACUAUCAUAGAGGGUGAGAAUCCCGUCUUUGACACGGACUCCCAGGGCUUUGUGAUGUGCUCUCAAAGAGUCGAGUUGUUUGGGAAUGCAGCUCUAAAUGGGUGGUAAAUUCCAUCUAAAGCUAAAUAUUGGCGAGAGACCGAUAGCGAACAAGUACCGUGAGGGAAAGAUGAAAAGAACUUUGGAAAGAGAGUUAAACAGUACGUGAAAUUGCUGAAAGGGAAACGCUUGAAGUCAGUCGCGUUGGCUGGGGAUCAACCUUGGCUUGGCUUACUUCCCAGUUGACGGGUCAGCAUCAGUUUUGACCGGUGGAUAAAGGCUAGGGGAAUGUGGCACCUUCGGGUGUGUUAUAGCCCUUGGUCA